rnacentral:sRNA from 1 species
UCGAUGAAGAACGCAGCGAAAUGCGAUAAGUAAUGCGAAUUGCAGAAUUCCAGUGAGUCAUCGAAUCUUUGAACGCACAUUGCGCCCUUUGGUAUUCCGAAGGGCAUGCCUGUUCGAGCGUCAUUAUCACCCCUCAAGCCCCUGGCUUGGUGUUGGACGGUUUGGUGGAGGUCCCCUCGGGGGCUCCUGCCCCUCCCAAAGACAAUGACGGCGGCCUCGUUGGACCCCCGGUACACUGAGUUCUUCACGGGACACGUAUCGGACACAUGGGUUUACGGGACACGGUCUGCCUCCCCUCAGGGAGAAUCUUUCUAAGGUUGACCUCGGAUCAGGUAGGGAUACCCGCUGAACUUAA